rnacentral:rRNA from 1 species
CGCGUAGGUGGUAGUGUAAGUCUGGGGUGGAAUGCCGGGGCUUAACCCUGGAAUUGCCUUGGAAACUGCAUUACUUGAGUCAGUGAGGGGAGGGUAGAAUUCCUGGUGUAGCGGUGAAAUGCGUAGAUAUCAGGAGGAAGGCCUGUGGCGAAGGCGGCCCUCUGGUGCUGGACUGACACUGAGGCGCGAAAGCGUGGGGGGCAAACAGGAUUAGAUACCCUGGUAGUCCACGCCCUAAACGGUGGGCACUAGGUGUAGGGCUCGUAAGGGUUCUGUGCCGAAGGGAAACCAUUAAGUGCCCCGCCUGGGGAGUACGGCCGCAAGGUUGAA